rnacentral:rRNA from 1 species
CGGCGAUGUCCGAAUGGGGAAACCCAGUGCAAUUCGUUGCACUAUCGUUAACUGAAUACAUAGGUUAACGAGGCGAACCGGGGGAACUGAAACAUCUAAGUACCCCGAGGAAAAGAAAUCAACCGAGAUUCCCCCAGUAGCGGCGAGCGAACGGGGAGCAGCCCAGAGUCUGAAUCAGCUUGUGUGUUAGUGGAACGGUCUGGAAAGUCCGACGGUACAGGGUGAUAGUCCCGUACACCAAAAUGCACAGGUUGUGAACUCGAAGAGUAGGGCGGGACACGUGGUAUCCUGUCUGAAUAUGGGGGGACCAUCCUCCAAGGCUAAAUACUCCUGACUGACCGAUAGUGAACCAGUACCGUGAGGGAAAGGCGAAAAGAACCCCGGCGAGGGGAGUGAAAAAGAACCUGAAACCGUGUACGUACAAGCAGUGGGAGCACCUUCGGGUGUGACUGCGUACCUUUUGUAUAAUGGGUCAGCGACUUAUAUUCUGUAGCAAGGUUAACCGUAUAGGGGAGCCGCAGGGAAACCGAGUCUUAACUGGGCGUUAAGUUGCAGGGUAUAGACCCGAAACCCGGUGAUCUAGCCAUGGGCAGGUUGAAGGUUGGGUAACACUAACUGGAGGACCGAACCGACUAAUGUUGAAAAAUUAGCGGAUGACUUGUGGCUGGGGGUGAAAGGCCAAUCAAACCGGGAGAUAGCUGGUUCUCCCCGAAAGCUAUUUAGGUAGCGCCUCGUGAACUCAUCUUCGGGGGUAGAGCACUGUUUCGGCUAGGGGGUCAUCCCGACUUACCAACCCGAUGCAAACUACGAAUACCGAAGAAUGUUAUCACGGGAGACACACGGCGGGUGCUAACGUCCGUCGUGAAGAGGGAAACAACCCAGACCGCCAGCUAAGGUCCCAAAGUCAUGGUUAAGUGGGAAACGAUGUGGGAAGGCACAGACAGCCAGGAUGUUGGCUUAGAAGCAGCCAUCAUUUAAAGAAAGCGUAAUAGCUCACUGGUCGAGUCGGCCUGCGCGGAAGAUGUAACGGGGCUAAACCAUGCACCGAAGCUGCGGCAGCGACACUAUGUGUUGUUGGGUAGGGGAGCGUUCUGUAAGCCUGCGAAGGUGGCCUGUGAGGGUUGCUGGAGGUAUCAGAAGUGCGAAUGCUGACAUAAGUAACGAUAAAGCGGGUGAAAAGCCCGCUCGCCGGAAGACCAAGGGUUCCUGUCCAACGUUAAUCGGGGCAGGGUGAGUCGACCCCUAAGGCGAGGCCGAAAGGCGUAGUCGAUGGGAAACAGGUUAAUAUUCCUGUACUUGGUGUUACUGCGAAGGGGGGACGGAGAAGGCUAUGUUAGCCGGGCGACGGUUGUCCCGGUUUAAGCAUGUAGGCGGAGGUUCCAGGUAAAUCCGGUACCUUUUAACGCUGAGGUGUGAUGACGAGGCACUACGGUGCUGAAGUAACAAAUGCCCUGCUUCCAGGAAAAGCCUCUAAGCAUCAGGUAACAUCAAAUCGUACCCCAAACCGACACAGGUGGUCAGGUAGAGAAUACCAAGGCGCUUGAGAGAACUCGGGUGAAGGAACUAGGCAAAAUGGUGCCGUAACUUCGGGAGAAGGCACGCUGGUGUGUAGGUGAAGUCCCUGCGGAUGGAGCUGAGACCAGUCGAAGAUACCAGCUGGCUGCAACUGUUUAUUAAAAACACAGCACUGUGCAAACACGAAAGUGGACGUAUACGGUGUGACGCCUGCCCGGUGCCGGAAGGUUAAUUGAUGGGGUUAUCCGUAAGGAGAAGCUCUUGAUCGAAGCCCCGGUAAACGGCGGCCGUAACUAUAACGGUCCUAAGGUAGCGAAAUUCCUUGUCGGGUAAGUUCCGACCUGCACGAAUGGCGUAAUGAUGGCCAGGCUGUCUCCACCCGAGACUCAGUGAAAUUGAACUCGCUGUGAAGAUGCAGUGUACCCGCGGCAAGACGGAAAGACCCCGUGAACCUUUACUAUAGCUUGACACUGAACAUUGAGCCUUGAUGUGUAGGAUAGGUGGGAGGCUUUGAAGCGUGGACGCCAGUCUGCGUGGAGCCAACCUUGAAAUACCACCCUUUAAUGUUUGAUGUUCUAACGUUGGCCCCUUAUCGGGGUUGCGGACAGUGUCUGGUGGGUAGUUUGACUGGGGCGGUCUCCUCCCAAAGAGUAACGGAGGAGCACGAAGGUUAGCUAAUCCUGGUCGGACAUCAGGAGGUUAGUGCAAUGGCAUAAGCUAGCUUGACUGCGAGCGUGACGGCGCGAGCAGGUGCGAAAGCAGGUCAUAGUGAUCCGGUGGUUCUGAAUGGAAGGGCCAUCGCUCAACGGAUAAAAGGUACUCCGGGGAUAACAGGCUGAUACCGCCCAAGAGUUCAUAUCGACGGCGGUGUUUGGCACCUCGAUGUCGGCUCAUCACAUCCUGGGGCUGAAGUAGGUCCCAAGGGUAUGGCUGUUCGCCAUUUAAAGUGGUACGCGAGCUGGGUUUAGAACGUCGUGAGACAGUUCGGUCCCUAUCUGCCGUGGGCGCUGGAGAAUUGAGGGGGGCUGCUCCUAGUACGAGAGGACCGGAGUGGACGCAUCACUGGUGUUCGGGUUGUCAUGCCAAUGGCACUGCCCGGUAGCUAAAUGCGGAAGAGAUAAGUGCUGAAAGCAUCUAAGCACGAAACUUGCCCCGAGAUGAGUUCUCCCUGAGACUUUAAGUCUCCUGAAGGAACGUUGAAGACGACGACGUUGAUAGGCCGGGUGUGUAAGCGCAGCGAUGCGUUGAGCUAACCGGUACUAAUGAACCGUGAGGCUUAACCUU